GUGUCAGCAGCCGCGGUAAUACGAAGGGGGCUAGCGUUGCUCGGAAUCACUGGGCGUAAAGGGUGCGUAGGCGGGUCUUUAAGUCAGGGGUGAAAUCCUGGAGCUCAACUCCAGAACUGCCUUUGAUACUGAAGAUCUUGAGUUCGGGAGAGGUGAGUGGAACUGCGAGUGUAGAGGUGAAAUUCGUAGAUAUUCGCAAGAACACCAGUGGCGAAGGCGGCUCACUGGCCCGAUACUGACGCUGAGGCACGAAAGCGUGGGGAGCAAACAGGAGGAGAUACCAUUGGAGUAC
rnacentral:rRNA from 1 species